ACAGAGGAUUAGCUCAGCGGGAGAGCAUCUGCCUUACAAGCAGAAAGUCGGGGGUUCAAAUCCCUCAUCCU
rnacentral:tRNA from 1 species